rnacentral:rRNA from 1 species
GACGAACGCUGGCGGCGUGCCUAAUACAUGCAAGUCGAACGAAGUUUGUUUUAACUGGUGCUUGCACCGACUUAAACAACUGAGUGGCGAACGGGUGAGUAACACGUGGGUAACCUCGCCCCAAAGGUGGGGGGAUAACAUUUGGAAACAGAUGCUAAUACCGCAUAACCACAGAAACCUCAUGGUUUCUGUGUCAAAGAUGGUUUCGGCUAUCACUUUGGGAUGGACCCGCGGCGUAUUAGCUUAGG